rnacentral:rRNA from 1 species
UUUUGAGCCCCGUUUCGGAGUCCGAUUUAGCCUGCUAGUCGCACGAGUUCAUACUCGUGGCGGAAAGCUCAGUAACACGUGGCCAAUCUACCNUACAGACGCGAAUAACCUCGGGAAACUGAGGCUAAUUCGUGAUAGAACUCUCCUGUUUGAAUACCGAGAGUCACAAACGCGUUAGCGCUGUAGGAUGAGGCUGCGGCCGAUUAGGUAGACGGUGGGGUAACGGCCCACCGUGCCCAUAAUCGGUACGGGUUGUGAGAGUAAGAGCCCGGAGACGGAAUCUGAGACAAGAUUCCGGGCCCUACGGGGCGCAGCAGGCGCGAAACCUUUACACUGCACGACCGUGCGAUAAGGGGACUCCGAGUGCGAGGGCAUAUCGUCCUCGCUUUUGUGUACCGUAGGGCGGUACACGAAUAAGAGCUGGGCAAGACCGGUGCCAGCCGCCGCGGUAAUACCGGCAGCUCGAGUGAUGGCCAAUCUUAUUGGGCCUAAAGCGUCCGUAGCUGGCCCUGAAAGUCCGUCGGGAAAUCCACACGCUCAACGUGUGGGCGUNCGGCGGAAACUUUAGGGCUUGGGACCGGAAGGCUCGAAAGGUACGUUCCGGGGUAGGAGUGAAAUCUGUAAUCCCGGACGGACCACCGAUGGCGAAAAGCACUUNNAGAAGACGGAUNCCA